GUAAGCGCUACAGCCCAGGGUCUAGCAGUAGCUCAGAGGAGCUGGUUUCACGACUUGCAAAUAGCUCAACCUGUUGUCACGAUUCAUUAAAAUCAGAGCAAAAUGUCCGAACUCACUGAAAUUGAAAUAACUUUUUGCCUUAAAGAAUUUAGUAGAAAAUUUAUUGAUCCCCUUUAAAAAAACUUCUAGCUAAGAUUUGUUGGGACUGUACAGCUGCCCUCAGUUGUGGAAAUUUAUUUCAAAAAUUCAUCCCAUUUGUAGAUGAAUUUUCAUUAAAGCUCCCCAGCAGGCGACAAGACUGCAUUUGAACCCAGGGUUUUAAUUAACUCCAAAAUCUAGUUAAAACUUAGAUGACCACGUUAUAUAACCUGUUAGGAACGCAUCUGUAAAGAAUUGACUGUAAAGACGCAGAGGACACCAGACCACCAGACCAAGCUUGCAAGAUUUUGGAAACCAAAAACGCCUUCCCUAGGCACAUAUGAAGAGUAUGGAGGGGCUAAGAAGGCCAGAAAGUUGGAAUCCCUGACAGCAUCAAGGAAGAUCCAGACUGACCUGGGAAUAGUAGUCACCUGAAAAGUAGCAGAACUGUAGACAACUCAGCAGAAACAUUAAGGACAGAGAUAAAAGAGAUCAACAUACCUGAGAAUGGUGACAAGUCAUUUCUAGAGAAAACCAACCCAGAAUGGAGACAAAGACAAACACACAGUUAUCAUUAUAUAAAAAAUAUCACUGGACUUGGAAUCAGCCUAACCAGGAAAACCAGGAAGAGUGAGAAAUAUGAGGGGUAUUGAACUUGAGCAUGAUUGUCUUAGUUGCUUUCUUAUUGCCUUGGUGCCAAAAUAUGUCUUAGAUAUUUUCUCAUUGCUGAGACACAAUACCCAACACAAUGUGGAAAGGUUUAUUUUGGCUUACAGUUUCUAGAGGUUUCACUUGGUAGUUGGAUGGCUUCAAGGGCAGCAUGGCAGAGGGGCAUGGCAGGCAGGAAGCACAGAGCCAUCAAAGGAGGAAUAGGUAUAUUGAUAUAGAUAUACAUACUUCCUUCCAGCCCGUGCCCCCAGUGACCCAUCCCUUCCCACCAGGCUUCACCUCCCAACAUGACACCCAGCUAUAAGCCCAUCAGUGGACUAAUCUGGUGUCGCACACCCAUGAUCCAGUCAGCUCCCAAAGGCCCCACCUAUGAGCAUACAAGGCUUUGGGUGGACAUCUAGAUAUAAGCCAUAAUAAUGACCAACCUAGCCCAUACCACUGAGAGAUUGCAAAAUGGUUUUGGAUGUAAGACUUCUGUGUUUAACCUACAGACUCAAUCUCAUCAUCAGAAUAGUCUCCAUCUGCUUCUCUUCACACUACUUGUUUCCUUUGUAGUUAGCUUGUGGACACCCUACACAUAAAUUCUCCAAGCGGCUCACAGUAUAACAAAUCUCAGGGCAGAGAUUUGCUCAUCUGGGCUGCAUGUCCUGCCCUGAACCUCUUACCGUGUCAAAAGCUAGGGUGAACUCUGAUUGGCCAAACACAGGCUAAAACCAUCCCACUGACAGGCAAGGUCAGAGGAGUCAAUAAACUACAUGGAAUUUCCCUAAAACUGAGGAGUUCAUCCCCCAAAGGGAUAAAAGUAUGCUGGAUGAAUACCAUGCAAGUUGUUAUAGCCUGGUUGCAGUGAGAACAUGAUAGCUGAGUAUAGUAAUGCACACCUGUGAUCCCAGCAUUGAGGGAGAAGGAUCAAAAAAUCAAGCUUAGUCCAAGCAACUUCUUAACGUAUUGAAAUCUAUCUCUUAAAAAGAGAAAAAGAAUUUAAAGCCUGGGGAUGUAGCUCAGUGUAAAGG
rnacentral:lncRNA from 1 species